AUAUAAAUAGUAUAAUUUAUUACAUAAGUUUUUCGUACUUAAAAUACAAUCUAUUUUGUUUUAUAUA
rnacentral:tRNA from 1 species